ensembl:lncRNA
AUGUUCAGGUGCUCAGAUUCACCUUUAGAGGAGAGGAGAGGAGAGCAGAGCAGAGCAGAGCAGAGGAGAGGAGAGCAGAGCAGAGCAGAGCAGAGCAGAGGAGAGCAGAGGAGAGCAGAGCAGAGGAGAGCAGAGGAGAGCAGAGCAGAGCAGAGCAGAGGAGAGCAGAGGAGAGCAGAGGAGAGCAGAGCAGAAGAGAGGAGAGCAGAGGAGAGCAGAGGAGAGGAGAGGAGAGCAGAGGAGAGCAGAGGAGAGCAGAGCAGAGGAGAGGAGAGCAGAGGAGAGCAGAGGAGAGGAGAGGAGAGCAGAAGAGAGCAGAGGAGAGCAGAGCAGAGGAGAGCAGAGCAGAGGAGAGCAGAGCAGAGCAGAAGAGAGCAGAGGAGAGCAGAGCAGAGGAGAGCAGAGGAGAGCAGAGCAGAGCAGAGCAGAGGAGAGCAGAGCAGAGCAGAGCAGAGGAGAGCAGAGGAGAGCAGAGCAGAGCAGAGGAGAGCAGAGCAGAGGAGAGCAGAGGAGAGCAGAGGAGAGGAGAGCAGAGGAAAGGAGAGGAGAGCACAGGAGAGGAGAGGAGAGCACAGGAGAGGAGAGGAGAGCACAGGAGAGGAGAGCACAGGAGAGGAGAGCACAGGAGAGGAGAACAGAGAAGAGCAGAGGAGAUGAGAGCACAGGAGAGGAGAGCAGAGGAGAGGAGAGGAGAGAAGUUUAAGGAACAAAAUUCAGAUACUCAGAUUCAAACCUUACAACCCCACUCUCAAGCCCCAGCACAAGAUGGCAGGUGGGUCAACCAUUCAUAGUAUAAGUUUUCAGCUGAACCUUUGCCCUGGGAUGUGUCCCCAUUGCUAUUCUAAUCACCCCUAUAAUGCUGAUGAGUAUGGGGAUGCUGUUUAUCUCUGAUCCCCCUUAUACCCUCAAUUAUGAGGAAAAGGUCCUUCAUGGAGCAUGACUUCUCAAUCCUAUUCAGGCAGUUGCCAAGGGAUAUAUAUGCACAGAUGCCUCAAAUGGUACCAUUACCUCCCAUUUCUCCUUCUCUUUCCUUUCUCAUUUUUGAAUAACUUUGUGUUUCAGCCCUUCCCUCUGUCACUUCCACAGGCUAGAUCUAACUCCCCAUUCUUUGCUUCUUUCAAUAGCUUGAUAAUUAUGAAGUCUGGUAGACAGGGCUCUAAGCUCCUUCCUCCUACUCCCUCAGCCCUACUUGGAUAGAUCAAUGAGGACAUUGCUUAAGGAAAAACUUGCUGAAAGUUAACUCUCUCUAAAAGUAUCAAUAGGAUGUCUUGGAAAGUUACUCGUAGGAAGUCUUAGAGCAAAAGUAAGAGGACCUAUUUGUUGGGGGUAUUUUAGAGAGAUCAUAGCUAUAGAACAACAGCAAGAGAACAGGUUGGAUCAUUUAGUCCAAUUGCCUCAUUUUACAGAUACGGAAAAUGAAGUCAACAGGGUUAGGUGACACUCAGGGUCUACAUAGCCAGUAAAUGUCUGAGACUGGAUUUGAACUCAGGUCUUCCUAAUUCUAGGCCCAGUGCUCUGUGCACUAUGGCAUCACCUAGCUGCCCCUUAUAAGUCAGACUGAACAACUUAAAAGCACUCCUGGUUAGAAGUUCCAUGAACUUAUAUGCAAUACUCCCAGAGAGAUCAAAACUGAAUGAUCAGACUCUGGAAACUCACUUGCAAAAUUACUUUGUGGAUAUUGACCAUAGCUCCUAGGAUUUAGGGUUUUAAAGUACCAUAGAGCUAGUGUAGUUUAACUUCCUCAUUUUACAGAUGAGGAAACCAAACCCCAAAGCCCAGACUACACAGCUAAUAAAUAGUAAUGCUAGGAUUCUAUGCUUCA